rnacentral:rRNA from 1 species
AGCGAACGCUGGCGGCAGGCUUAACACAUGCAAGUCGAACGGGCACUUCGGUGCUAGUGGCAGACGGGUGAGUAACGCGUGGGAACGUGCCUUUCGGUUCGGAAUAAUCCAGGGAAACUUGGACUAAUACCGGAUACGCCCUUAGGGGGAAAGAUUUAUCGCCGAAAGAUCGGCCCGCGGCUGAUUAGCUAGUUGGUGAGGUAAAGGCUCACCAAGGCGACGAUCAGUAGCUGGUCUGAGAGGAUGAUCAGCCACAUUGGGACUGAGCCACGGCCCAAACUCCUACGGGAGGCAGCAGUGGGGAAUAUUGGAAAAUGGGCGCAAGCCUGAUCCAGCCAUGCCGCGUGAGUGAUGAAGGCCUUAGGGUUGUAAAGCUCUUUUGUCCGGGAAGAUAAUGACUGUACCGGAAGAAUAAGCCCCGGCUAACUUCGUGCCAGCCGCCGCCGUAAAAC